rnacentral:rRNA from 1 species
UACGGAGGGGGCUAGCGUUGUUCGGAAUUACUGGGCGUAAAGCGCGCGUAGGCGGGCAUUUAAGUCGGGGGUGAAAUCCCGGGGCUCAACCCCGGAACUGCCCUCGAUACUGGGUGCCUAGAGGUCGAGAGAGGUGAGUGGAAUGGCGAGUGUAGAGGUGAAAUUCGUAGAUAUUCGCCGGAACACCAGUGGCGAAGGCGGCUCACUGGCUCGAUACUGACGCUGAGGUGCGAAAGCGUGGGGAGCAAACAGG